GAUCCUGGCUCAGGAUGAACGCUAGCGACAGGCCUAACACAUGCAAGUCGAGGGGCAGCGGGGAGGUAGCAAUACCUUUGCCGGCGACCGGCGCACGGGUGAGUAACACGUAUGCAAUCCACCUGUAACAGGGGGAUAACCCGGGAGAAAUCCGGACUAAUACCCCAUAAUAUGGGCGCUCCGCAUGGAGAGUUCAUUAAAGAGAGCAAUUUUGGUUACAGACGAGCAUGCGCUCCAUUAG
rnacentral:rRNA from 1 species